rnacentral:ncRNA from 1 species
GGGCUGCGGGCGGUAAAAGACCAAAGAACUCCAGGAAAAAACCCCACCCAACCAACCAAACCUCGCAGCGGUCACUCGGCUGGGUGAAACCGGUUGGUAUGGGUGGCGCGGGGGUGAGGCGGGCGGGCAGGCUCGCCGCGAGGCGACCGUGCGGUGCCUGCUCGGCAGUCUGCUCGGCCCCUGUUCGACGCCUGCUUGAUCCCCCAUAUGCAUCGGCCCCCGCCGGGACCGACAUCCCGGUGCGAGGGCCUGACCAACGAGGAAGAAAGGCCCUUCC